rnacentral:ncRNA from 2 species
UAAGAUGCCCGCGCUCAAGGUGAUCGCCGACACGGUUCGGCGAUUGAAACGGGAAUCCGGUCGCGUCGCUGUCGUUCGUCAGCGCGUUCAAGCCGGAGCUGCCCCCGCAACGGUAGGCGAGUAGACGUAGCGCAAUCGGCCACUGUGUCUCGACACGGGAAGGCGCGCUACGGAAGAGGCGGUAGCGCUCGGUCCGACAACGACCGCGCCGGCCGCGCUUCGCUCGCAAGCCCGGAGACCGGCCCGGAGCGCGAACCGACA